ACUGCAGGCACUAGAGGCACUGCAGGUAUGGCUUCUCUGUUGACAUGUGCAUCAAUUGGUGGCAGAGAGGAGAGAGGCUAUGUCUAUGCUCAGUGUUCUGACCUAUGACCACCUGAAUUAUCAGUAGCCCAACAUU
rfam:Mus musculus chromosome 4, GRC primary reference assembly.